rnacentral:rRNA from 1 species
UAACACGUAAAGAACCUACCUUAUAGACAGGGACAACUAUUGGAAACGAUAGCUAAUACCUGAUAAGAAAGAAACUCGCAUGAGAGAAGUUCGAAAGUCGGAGCAAUCUGACACUAUAAGAUGGCUUUGCGGUGCAUUAGCUAGUUGGUAGGGUAAAAGCCUACCAAGGCGACGAUGCAUAGCCGACCUGAGAGGGUGAUCGGCAACAUUGGGACUGAGACACGGCCCAGACUCCUACGGGAGGCAGCAGCU